GUAAGUUGUUGAUUGUGUUUCU
rnacentral:miRNA from 14 species